UGGGGCGUGGCCAAGUGGUAAGGCAUCGGGUUUUGAUCCCGCUAUUCGGAGGUUCGAGUCCUUCCGUCCCAG
rnacentral:tRNA from 1 species